rnacentral:rRNA from 1 species
UACGGAAGGGGCAAGCGUUGUUCGGAAUUACUGGGCGUAAAGGGUCUGUAGGUGGCCAACUAAGUCAAACGUGAAAUCCCUCAGCUUAACUGGGGAACUGCGUCUGAUACUGGAUGGCUCGAGUGUGGGAGAGGAAUGCGGAAUUCCAGGUGUAGCGGUGAAAUGCGUAGAUAUCUGGAGGAACACCGAUGGCGAAGGCAGCCCCCUGGGCCAGUACUGACGCUCAUGCACGAAAGCGUGGGGAGCAAACAGG